rnacentral:rRNA from 1 species
GAUGAACGCUAGCUACAGGCUUAACACAUGCAAGUCGAGGGGAAACGAUAUUGGAAGCUUGCUUCCGAUAGGCGUCGACCGGCGCACGGGUGAGUAACGCGUAUCCAACCUGCCCAUCACUUGGGGAUAACCUUGCGAAAGUAAGACUAAUACCCAAUGACGUCUCUAGAAGACAUCUGAAGGAGAUUAAAGAUUUAUCGGUGAUGGAUGGGGAUGCGUCUGAUUAGCUUGUUGGCGGGGUAACGGCCCACCAAGGCGACGAUCAGUAGGGGUUCUGAGAGGAAGGUCCCCCACAUUGGAACUGAGACACGGUCCAAACUCCUACGGGAGGCAGCAGUGAGGAAUAUUGGUCAAUGGACGAGAGUCUGAACCAGCCAAGUAGCGUGCAGGAUGACGGCCCUAUGGGUUGUAAACUGCUUUUAUAAGGGAAUAAAGUGAGUCUCGUGAGACUUUUUGCAUGUACCUUAUGAAUAAGGACCGGCUAAUUCCGUGCCAGCAG